GACGAACGCUGGCGGCGUGCCUAACACAUGCAAGUCACGGGGGCCCGCAAGGGCAACCGGCGAACGGGUGCGGAACACGUGAGCAAUCUGCCGAUUACUGGGGGGAUAGCCGGCCCAAACGGCCGGGUAAUACCGCAUACGCUCAUUGGGGGACAUCCCCCGAUGAGGAAACCGUCCGGGGGUAAAUCGAGGAGCUCGCGUCUUAUCAGCUAGUUGGCGGGGUAACGGCCACCGAAGGCUACGACGGUAGCUGGUCUGAGAGGAUGAUCAGCCACACUGGAACUGAGACACGGUCCAGACACCUAC
rnacentral:rRNA from 1 species